rnacentral:tRNA from 1 species
CAAAACAUAACUUAUUAGUAAAGUAUUUCAUUUACACUGAAAAUUUUUCUGUGCGAAUCAGGAUGUUUUGAUU